rnacentral:rRNA from 1 species
GUAGGUGGCAAGCGUUGUCCGGGAAUUAUUGGGGCGUAAAGCGCGCGCAGGUGGUUCUUUAAGGUCUGAUGUGAAAGACCCCCCCGGGCUCAAACCCGGGGGGAGGGUCAUUGGAAACUGGGGAACUUGAGUGCAGGAGAGGAAAGUGGAAUUCCACGUGUAGCGGUGAAAUGCGUAGAUAUGUGGAGGAACACCAGUGGCGAAGGCGACGUUUCUGGCCUGUAGCUGACACUGAGGCGCGAAAGCGUGGGGAGCAAACAGGAUUAGAUACCCUGGUAGUCCACGCCGUAAACGAUGAGUGCUAAGUGUUGGGGGGUUUCCGCCCCUCAGUGCUGCAGCUAACGCAUUAAGCACUCCGCCUGGGGAGUACGGUCGCAAAGACUG